CGGCAGGCCUAACACAUGCAAGUCGAGCGCGAAAACACUUCGGUGUGAGUAGAGCGGCGGACGGGUGAGUAAUGCUUGGGAAUCUGCCCAGUAGUGGGGGAUAACGUGUGGAAACGCACGCUAAUACCGCAUACGUCCUACGGGAGAAAGCAGGGGAUCUUCGGACCUUGCGCUAUUGGAUGAGCCCAAGUCGGAUUAGCUAGUUGGUGGGGUAAUGGCCUACCAAGGCGACGAUCCGUAGCUGGUCUGAGAGGAUGAUCAGCCACACUGGGACUGAGACACGGCCCAGACUCCUACGGGAGGCAGCAGUGGGGAAUAUUGCACAAUGGGCGAAAGCCUGAUGCAGCCAUGCCGCGUGUGUGAAGAAGGCUCUAGGGUUGUAAAGCACUUUCAGUAGGGAGGAAAAGCUUAAGGUUAAUAACCUUGAGCCCUGACGUUACCUACAGAAGAAGCACCGGCAAACUCCGUGCCAGCAGCCGCGGUAAUACGGAGGGUGCGAGCGUUAAUCGGAAUUACUGGGCGUAAAGCGCGCGUAGGUGGUUUGAUAAGCUAGCUGUGAAAGCCCCGGGCUCAACCUGGGAACUGCAGUUAGAACUGUCUGACUAGAGUACAGUAGAGGGUGGCGGAAUUUCCUGUGUAGCGGUGAAAUGCGUAGAUAUAGGAAGGAACAUCAGUGGCGAAGGCGGCCACCUGGACUGAUACUGACACUGA
rnacentral:rRNA from 1 species